GCGUCGGUAAUGCAGUUGGUCAGCACGAGCCCCGGGAAGGGGUAAAUGCGGGUUCGAGUCCCGCCUAACACA